rnacentral:rRNA from 1 species
UAGGAAGGGGGCUAGCGUUGCUCGGAAUCACUGGGCGUAAAGCGCACGUAGGCGGAUUGCUAAGUCAGGGGUGAAAUCCUGGAGCUCAACUCCAGAACUGCCUUUGAUACUGGCGACCUUGAGUCCGGGAGAGGUGAGUGGAACUGCGAGUGUAGAGGUGAAAUUCGUAGAUAUUCGCAAGAACACCAGUGGCGAAGGCGGCUCACUGGCCCGAUACUGACGCUGAGGCACGAAAGCGUGGGGAGCAAACAGG